rnacentral:rRNA from 1 species
UACGUAGGGGGCAAGCGUUGUCCGGAAUCACUGGGCGUAAAGGGCGCGUAGGCGGUCCGGUAAGCGCGUGGUGAAAGCCCGGGGCUCAACCCCGGGUCGGCCGUGCGGACUGCGGGACUCGAGCACUGUAGAGGCGGGCGGAAUUCCGGGUGUAGCGGUGGAAUGCGUAGAGAUCCGGAAGAACACCGGUGGCGAAGGCGGCCCGCUGGGCAGGAUGCUGACGCUGAGGCGCGACAGCGUGGGGAGCAAACAGG